rnacentral:rRNA from 1 species
GACGUAGGGCGCGAGCGUUGUCCGGAUUUAUUGGGCGUAAAGAGCUCGUAGGCGGCUUGUUGCGUCGUCCGUGAAAACCUGGGGCUCAACUCCAGGCUUGCGGUCGAUACGGGCAGGCUAGAGUUCGGUAGGGGAGAACGGAAUUCUGGUGUAGCGGUGAAUGACGCAGAUAUCAGGAGGAACACCGGUGGCGAAGGCGGAUCUCUGGGCCAUUACUGACGCUGAGGAGCGAAAGCGUGGGGAGCAAACGGG